CCCGGUUGCCAUAAAAGACCCCCUUCUACCUGCCUCCCCCACCCUGCAAUGUGCAAAAACUAAGGUGCUCCAGGAGGCCACAAGAGGAGGCUCUCACAGCCUUUUAGAAAUUUUUAGAAGCACGCCCUCUUCUGGAAAGGCUACUGUAAUGCGGGGCUCGGUGACUAGAGGGCACCCUGGUGCAGGUUGGAAAGGGUGGUUGCCACCCCAGCGCUCGCCCACACCAUGUCUUCAGUCCUCAUUUGCCACCUCGGCCAGGCACCCUUGUGCAGGAUGUAACCUGCCCAACUGGACGUGGGAACCCAGUCCCUGCAACAUCAAGGAUGACCUCAGCCCAGUCUGUCCACCAAUUCCUUUCCUCUCCUGGGACAACAGCUGGGGUCUGGAGGGUGAAGUGUGCAAAGUCCCUCCACUCUGUCCUCUGCCUUUCCUAUCACCCACCCUCCCUCUGUACCCGCGACAUUGUGGCACUAAGGGGUCACCAGGGCUUCGAAAAGGCCUCCUUGCAUUAAGUUUUGAAGGAUGGCUAGGAACUUCCCAUAGAAACUGUGAAGGACGGUCCGGACAGGGAAAGCAGCAUGAUUUGAACACUUCUGAGAGCAGAAAGCGGGAGGCAGGGAGGAGCACAAGGCAAGUGGUGAGGUCGGCAAACGCCAAAUCUUUAAAAUAAUAAAAAGAUUUUAUUUAUUUAUUCAUAAGGCACAAAGAGAGAGGGGCAUAGGCAGUGGGAGUAGAAGCAGGCUCUAUGCAGGGAGCCCGAUGUGGGACUUGAUCAUCAGGACCUUGGGAUCAUGACCUGAGCCAAACGCAGACACUCAACCACUGAGCCACCCAGGCGUCCAGCCACAGAAUAUUCUAUCACACAAUGAAAGCCGUAGAAGAGCUGAGGCAGCAAGGAGAUUCCUGUGUGCUCUAGGACUGUCCCUCCUCGGGAGGAGGAGAGACUGGGGAGAAGGGGUCUGGGCUGGCGAGGGUGGGGAGGAGGUGGGGCAGGGGACGGAUCAGCUAGGAAUCCACAACAAUAAACCCCGGGAAUGGAGAGAAGUGGACAGAUGCCAAAGACACGUAGAAUGUAGAGCAACAUGGUGGGAAGCAGUCAUGUACCAGGAAAGGUCCAAGGUGGUACCCUACCUGCAGGUUGACCAGCCAGCCUCCCCGAGUGCCUUGGCUGCUGGCAGAAGCAUGAGAUUCCUGGGUCAGAGAGGAAGGACCAUCUACUGCUCACAGCACUAGCUGCCAAGGGUUUAGCAUUGAUUCCUCAGAGUCCCAAAUCCCACAGGGGGAUGUGGACAGGACCAUGUGACACUUGUCCACUCAGCAGGUAUAUUGUGAGAGAAUAAAUCUAAGCUUACAGAACCCAAAUCUUUUUAAUAGGCAGUAAGCAAGCCAGCCCUUUGCUCCUGGGAUAGACAUCAUCUUCAUCACGCUGGAGCACACCUGUGCUUUGCCCCAGAGGGGGACACCAUAUAUUUAUUCCAAGGUUGUCUGACACACAGAUAUCCUGAAGAGAGUCUGGGAGGCUGGUUUCCCCGUGACAACAACCGUGCGUCAUCCAGAGGAGCUGGCCUGGUGCGAGUCAUGUCAUGUCUGGGUUACUGGAGGCGAAACCACGGGGAAUGAUCCAGACCACUUUUCUCCUUUCACAUACCAGUGUUAAAAUCUCACUUUAUUUCAAAUCAUUAUAUUCCCCCCCGCAGAAGUACAUAAAAAUGAUAAAUAUCCCUUUCA